GAUGAAGAACGCAGCGAAAUGCGAUACGUAAUGUGAAUUGCAGAAUUCAGUGAAUCAUCGAAUCUUUGAACGCAUAUUGCGCUCUCUGGUAUUCCGGAGAGCAUGCUUGUUUGAGUAUCAGUAAACACCUCAACUCCCUUUUCUUUUUUGAAAUGGGAGCUGGACUUGAGUGAUCCCAACACUUUUCUCACUGGAAAGUGGCGGGUCACUUGAAAUGCAGGUGCAGCUGGACUUUUCUCUGAGCUAUAAGCAUAUCUAUUUAGUCUACCUAAAAAACAGAUUAUUACCUUUGCUGCAGCUAACAUAAAGGAGAUGAGUUCUUGUGCUGACUGAUGCAGGAUUCACAGAGACAGCUUUGCGGCUGACUUUGUAAACUCGAUCUCAAAUCAAGUAAGACUACCCGCUGAACUUAAGCAUAUCAAUAAGCGGAGGA
rnacentral:misc_RNA from 1 species